CCCUUAGAUGUUCUGGGCCGCACGCGCGCUACACUGACGAUGGCAACGAGUUUUUCCUUCGCCGAAAGGUGUGGGUAAUCUUUUGAAACAUCGUCGUGCUGGGGUUAGAUCAUUGCAAUUUUUGAUCUUGAACGAGGAAUUCCUAGUAAGCGCGAGUCAUCAGCUCGCGUUGAUUACGUCCCUGCCCUUUGUACACACCGCCCGUCGCUACUACCGAUUGAAUGGUUUAGUGAGGACUCCUGAUUGGCGCCGCCGCCCCGGCAACGGAGCAGCGGACUGCCGAAAAGUUGUUCAAACUUGAUCAUUUAGAGGAAGUAAAAGUCGUAACA
rnacentral:rRNA from 1 species